AUUGAACGCUGGCGGCAUGCUUUACACAUGCAAGUCGAACGGUAACAGGCCGCAAGGUGCUGACGAGUGGCGAACGGGUGAGUAAUGCAUCGGAACGUGCCCAGUCGUGGGGGAUAACGCAGCGAAAGCUGUGCUAAUACCGCAUACGAUCUAUGGAUGAAAGCGGGGGACCGUAAGGCCUCGCGCGAUUGGAGCGGCCGAUGUCAGAUUAGGUAGUUGGUGGGGUAAAGGCUCACCAAGCCAACGAUCUGUAGCUGGGCUGAGAGGACGACCAGCCACACUGGGAAUGAGACACGGUCCAGACUCCUACGGGAGGCAGCAGUGGGGAAUUUUGGACAAUGGGGGCAAGCCUGAUCCAGCAAUGCCGCGUGCAGGAAGAAGGCCUUCGGGUUGUAAACUGCUUUUGUACGGAACGAAGAGGUUUGGGUUAAUACCCUGGGCCGAUGACGGUACCGUAAGAAUAAGCACCGGCUAACUACGUGCCAGCCGCCGCGGUAA
rnacentral:rRNA from 1 species